rnacentral:lncRNA from 1 species
GAUAAAAGGUCAUUUCCUGAUUUCAUGUUUAUGCAUCAUAAUUUAAGGCCAGCUUUUUCACAAUAACAGUCUAUGCAUAAAGAUUUUUAAAUACUGAGUGUGAAUUUCCAAAUUCAAAUGUCAGGCAGGGCAGCAGUUGUAAAGGAGACAUAUCAUAUUCUUUAAUAUGUGAGCAUCACAUACCCCCACCACAGACUUCACCUAAAAGGGUACCAGAAAAUCAGAGUAAUAGUAAACUCAGAGUGGGGAUAUAGAAGUAGUCCUUACCUGCUUUCUGUAAAAAAAAAAAAAAAAAAAAAAAAAAAAAAGAUCUUUGGUGGACCAAAGGCCCACUCCACACACAUAAAAUGGGUGCAAUCUGCUCCUUCCUUCUUAUUGAUUGCAGAAAUGCCCCUUGUGUGAUGACAUCCAAGAAGUCACAUGGCUGCAAAUUCUCCACAUGAGGGAAGGCUGAACGCACAUAAAAUCGGCUGUUAUAUGAUAGGAUUAUACGAUAGGAGCAAAUGUAUACCUGCUUCAGCCUUUUCCUUGUGAUACCAGGAACUAGGGGAUACCCAACCCCACUAGUCAUUGUAUAUCUGUUUGAAAGUGCAAUUGAGUCAUGGAAGUCAGAAGCCUACUGCCCACACCAAUUUACUUGAUUGUUUCUAUAGAAAAAAAAAAAAGGGACACAGCAAUCUUUCCUCAUACACACUUGGUGCCCUCAUUUGGCAGGCCUUUACAGUUUCUUGGAGACAUGAAGAUAGAAUGAUUUGCCAUUCACCGUUUCUCAUGGAACCUAGUUCUUGGUUGUCAUGGUUCAGCCUCUGUAGUGUUUGAAUGAGAAUGUCCCUCGUAGGUUCAGAUGUUUGAACACUUAGUCCCCAGCUGGUGGCACUGUUGGGGAAGAUGUGGCAUUGUUGGAAAAGAUAUGUCACUGAGAUUUUAAAAAGUUUCCGCCAUCUCACCAUCACACUAUCUACCUCCAUCUUGGAGGUGACAGAGAGCUGCUUCUGCUGAGAAUCUGGGUCAGGAACUCAACUAUGACUCUUUCAGAAGGUCUGCUUUAGUCGAUUCUGGAGAAAGCCUGAUUUGAUGCUAUUGUCUAUCUGCUCCUUGGCUUGUGUGAUUUUACUUAGCACAGUUACCCAACUAGACACUCUGAUCUGCCUAGGACUCUCAUUGGGAAUCCUAGCUAACCUCUUCAAUGGCUGCCCUAGUUGAUUUCAACUAAUAUUUGUAAGCCUUCAAUUUGAUUAUAUUGAAUUAUCGAUCUGAUGUUUCUAUCAGCUAUUUCCUACUAUUUUACCUUUGCUUACUAUAUUCUUAAUAAACGGACGUUCAAAACCC